rnacentral:lncRNA from 1 species
AAAUUCUCUUUGAGGCCUUUACGCGACAACAACCUCAAUCAUUAGCAUUAUGAAACCGACACAAGCUUCUAAGUCACUUUGAAAAUCCUCUCUUCAGAAGUCUUUGGCUUCAUCGACAGGCUGAUAUCUUCUUCUUUUCUUUCUUUCUUUCUUUUUUUUCUGGGUGGAAAUUUAAAAUGGCUGAUCUGAGAUGAUCAAAUUACGUGGAGUCUUCCUGCCAUUAGAGGACAACUCUUUUCUUGUAAGUCUAACGUUGAGAGUAGAGAUGGGGAUUGGAUCUGGGCACUCCCCCAUCACUUCUUCUUUUCUUCCUAAAGGUACAUCCAUUUCCAAUUCUAUAAGUUUUUAAACAUUUGUUGAAGCAUUUUCCUAUUGCUUUCAAUCUUUCAUUCUUGGUGUUGCUGGUUUUUUCAUCAAUCCAAUUUAGAAUGACUUGAUUAAUUAAAUCACGUUUAAGACAUGAUAUCAGCAUAUCACUUCACUUAAUUGUAGUAAUUUGUAAUCAUCGGGUGUAUUAUAAAAAACUGUGAUUGAUAAGUCUUAAAGUAAAUGCCUUGUGUGAAGACUAUCCAUUGUUUUCACAUACAGCCACAUCACUGAUCGUAAUGGCUCGGUAGUCAUCACCAAACCUACAGUUCCUCUCAGCAAUCUUUCCUUCUCCUAACAAAGGAGAGAAGAAGACAUGGUUAGAUAUAAAAUUUACAUAAUAAUAAAAAAAUAAUAGCUGAAAAUUUUGAAAAGAAGACAGAAAUAUUAAAAAAAAAAAGAAAGCUUCCUUUUUUUGUUUCCCAGGAUAGGGAAUUAUCAGGUACUUAUAUUUCUAUUAACAUUGAAACAGAUCUUCUUAAUCAUUUUAAUAACUUGAUUUUUAAAGCUGCCUUUCUAUAAUUCAUGCUCUUGGGUAUUUAGGAACUGAUGUUUCCUCAAAGAAAACAAAAGUUAAAGGACCCACAAUAUGUACCCUCUGGCUCCCAAGCUUAAAACAGAGCAAUUUGAAGGAAGUUGUAUAGACUGGCAUGCAUAAUUUUUUUAAUAAGCUUAUACUACAAAGCUUCAACCAAAAAAAAAAAAAAAGAAAGUGUAAAUUGUAAAGAAUUAAAAGUAAACAUAUUCAUUACCAUUAUAAGCCAUCUCAACAUCCUUUAGAAACUUAAUUUUGAUUUUCUUGAGUAUGGCCACAACAGCCUUCAUAUUUUUCCUUUCUUCAGGCAACUUAGUUGUACAGUCUAGAGCUAAUCCCAUGAUAGAUGAUAAAGCGUUCACUUUAUCUAUGAAAAGUUCCUCCUCUCUUAACAAAUUGGCAUCCAAAACCUCAUCAAUUGUUCCAUUGGAAAGUGAAUUUUUCACCCAAUCCUUCAAACUCAUUUCAACGGAAAAAAUUUCUUCGGUAGGUUUCUUUCUUGUGAAAGUUUCCAUCAAUAAAAUACCAUAACUAUAGACAUCACCUUUUAGAGAAACAAUUCCAGUCGAUCCAUAUUCUGUAUGUAAAACAUGAUCAAAUGUUUUAGUUAAUGUAACAUCAUUAAUCAUCAAUGGAAAACUAAAAGAUUGAAGCAACUGUAUAUACAGAAACAUAAAUAUGAAUAAGAAGCAAAAAAUACCUGGUGCCAUAUACCCAAUAGUAGCAAGUGUCUUAGUUUGUCUUAUAGAAUCUUCUUCUCCCAAGAGUUUGGCAAGGCCAAAAUCUCCAACAUGUGCAACCAUGUCAUUAUCUAGCAGGAUAUUGCUUGGCUUUAAGUCACAAUGGAUCACAGGUACUGAGCAGCCAAAAUGGAGAUAUUCUAGUGCUGAUGCAACAUCAAUCAUUAUGUCAAUUCUUUGUAGGAGAUUGAGAUAAUAGUUAUAGGAAUAUAACCAUUUCUCAAGGUUGCCGUUAGGCAUGAACUCAAACAUUAAGGCUCUGAAGUCAACAUUAGAGCAACUACUAAAGACCUUGACAAGAUUCCGAUGAAAAAUAUUGCGCAUUGCUUCACAUUCAACAUCAAAACUCUUGAAGCCGUCCUCUGAGUGCAUAUUGAACACUUUUAUUGCGACAUUCAUCCCAUCUGAAAGUGUUCCUCUAUACACAGACCCAAAACCCCCUGAACCAAGCAAGUUGCAUUCAUCAAAUCCAUUAGUUGCUUGUAAAAGUUCACUGUAGGAAAUUCUUCUCCAUUUUUCCAGAGGCAAUAAAUCUUCGUUAACAGGCAGAUUUAUACUCUUUUUUUGGCAUCUUUUAAGGAGAAUAAAGAAGAUUGCUAUCAGUAUUAAUGAAGCAACUACUGGUAAAACAUAUUUCAAAACAUGCCAAGGAGUCAUCUUCGAUUGUCUACUUUUACAAGGUGGAACUUGUAGUGCCGGUGAACCGCAAAGUCCACAGUUAUUCAUAAAUGAUUUAGCUGAGAAGUUUCUAAAGGGUCCUCUACUGGGGAUUUCUCCUUCUAGUCUAUUGAAGGACACAUUAAAAUGAUUGAGAGACGAAAGUCUCUCCAAAGAUUUGGGAAUGACUCCAGAGAGAUUGUUGUUGGAUAAAUCCAAGGAUUCCAAACUUAUCAAAUCACCAAAUGAUUCAGGAAUAUAACCAUCAAAUCUAUUAUUGGAUAAGUCUAGAGAAAUCAGAUCCUGGAGUUCUCCAAUUGAACUCAAGAUUUCACCCGAUAACAGAUUCCUUGACAAAUUCAAAUGUGUCAAUACCUUCAGUUUCUCAAUGCCCAGUUGAAGGGAACCAUUCAAAUAAUUUGAGGACAAGUCUACCUCUAAGAUAUCAUUAAGGCUCCACAAGGAUAAGGGUAUUGUUGAAUUCAAUUUGUUGGAGUCUAAGUAAAGAUACCUCAGAGAAGUCAAAUUCGCCAAACAAGUUGGUAUAGGACCAUGGAGCAUGUUGCCACCUAAUGAUAGGUUAUAUAAUCUCUCUAAACCGCAGACACUUGGUGGGAUAGACCCUUGUAAUUGAUUACCAUGAAGAAGCAAACCCUGGACAUUUCGUAGCCUUCCUAUUGUUGCUGGAAUAGAUCCACUAAAUUCAUUAUGGGAAAGGUCUAAAGUUGUAAUAUUGCUUAAGUUACCAAUUUCCCUGGGAAUGCUACCUGUAAUUUUGACAUCUGAGGCAUAGAAAAAAUGAAGAGAUGUCGACAGAUUUGAGAUAGAACUUGGAAGAAUGCCAUUCAAUGGAUUGAAUGAUAGGUUCAAAUAUCUCAGAUUCCUGCAAUUUGCCAAAGAAGACAAAAAGCUCCACUCAUGUGUUGAAGUUUCAGUGAUCAAAUUAUUAGAUGCGAGGCUCAGCCGCUCAAGGAAAGUUAAAUUGCCAAGUGUAUUUGGGAUAAGACCAAAGAAUGAGUUUUCUUCUAGUGCUAAGAUUCUGAGCUUAGAAGCACUGGAGAUAAAAUUGGGAAUAUUGCCGCUGAGAUUAUUUCCCCAUAGUCUAAGCUCCUCAAGAUUUGAAAUUGAGAUCAUAGAAGGUAUUUCACCUGUCAAAAUGAACAAAUACAUUAUUCUACAAGUUUUAGGUUACCUUAUUGCAUUAUAUGUGAUUCUAUGGUACAACUAAAAUGAAUGUUAUGAGUAACUUUACUAGGAAUAGAAGCAAGAAGCAUUAACCAUCCAAAUUGUCAAAAAAAGACAGCAAUUAUCAAAAUCAAGCCUCUAUAUAUACAUAUUUGAACUUUCAUACUUAUCUUUUCUAUGAUUAAAACCUUUGUAAUGUAAUGCUUUCUAUGAUUAAAACCUUCGCAAUGCUAUGCCUAUUACUAUUCUUUAAUUUCAAGACAGAAACAUGAACCUUGCACUUUCAAGUUACAAUAGCAUAAUAUGGGUAAUUUUGUUAGUGAAAAAAAUUGUUGUCUUAUCCUAUUAUCAGUGAUGUCUUUGCUGAAACAUAACACUUUAUUAUCUUAUUUUUACACUAUGUAACAAACAAAGGAUAUCAUAACAAAUAUCAUAGUAAUUACAUCAUCUUGCUCAAACUUUGAACUAGGGACUAUUGAAUAUUGCACUAACAAGAACCAAAUACUCAUCAGAAUUUACUUCAAAAUUACUUGACCUAUGAAUGUAAAGAUACAUAUAUGGAUCAAAUCUGAAUGUAUUAUCAUGAUUCUCCUAUUAUUGAUUUUAUGAUUAUUUCUUUUAUAUUAAUUCUUACAACAUAUGUUAGAAAAUUUUGCCAAAUGUUCAUAAGUAGAUUACCAGAUAGACUAUUGUUGUUCAGAGAAAUUUCUUUUAAAGAAGAUAUGUUGAAGAUGGAAGGUGGGAUGGGACCAGUUAGACGCAUAUGCUGGACAGCCAAUAUCUCCAGUGAAUAAAGAUUUCCAAUUUCCCAUGGGAUUUCCCCUGCAAGCGUAACAAAAACCAAAGGAGCAAAAUCUCAGUAUUAUAAAGCUAUCCACUUUCUCAAC